CAAUAGAUGAGUGGAUAACGCGAUGGCAUUUUAAGCGAAAGGUACUGGGUUCGAGUCCCAGAGUGAA
rnacentral:tRNA from 1 species